AAGCCUGAAGAGNACGCGGCUGUGUGGAUGAGGCCUUCGGGUUGUAAAGCACUUUUGAUCGGGAAGNGGAAGGACGGUNCCGGUCGAAUAGGCCUCGGCUAACUACGUGCCAGGCAGCCGCGGUAAAACGUAGGAGGCGAGCGUUAUCCGGAUUUACUGGGCGUAAGCGCGUGCAGGUGGCUUGGCAAGUUGGGCGUGAAAUCUCCUGGCUUAACUGGGAGGGGUCGUCCAAUACUGUUAGGCUUGAGUGCAGGAGAGGGAAGCGGAAUUCCCGGUGUAGCGGUAAUAUGCGCAGAUAUCGGGAGGAACACCAGUGGCGAAGGCGGCUUCCUGGCCUGUUACUGACGCUAAGACGCGAAAGCUAGGGGAGCGAACGGGAUUAGAUACCCCGGUAGUCCUAGCUGUAAACGAUGGAUACUAGGUGUGGGUGGUAUUGACCCCAUCCGUGCCGAAGCCAACGCGUUAAGUAUCCCGCCUGGGGAGUACGGCCGCAAGGCUAAAACACAAAGGAAUUGACGGGGGCCCGCACAAGCAGCGGAGCGUGUGGUUUAAUUCGAUGCAACGCGAAGAACCUUACCAGGGCUUGACAUGCAAGUGGUAGCGAAGCGAAAGCGGAGCGACCCUUCGGGGAGCUUGCACAGGUGCUGCAUGGCUGUCGUCAGCUCGUGCCGUGAGGUGUUGGGUUAAGUCCCGCAACGAGC
rnacentral:rRNA from 1 species